CGAUAACGCACGUUGGAUCAUUUUUACCUAAGCGUAUUGUACUCGCAAGAAUCGAACGUCGAGAUACUCGGCAAGUCUUUAAUCAUUAUGUAUUGCCCGAGUACUGCCAGAAAUGCGACAGAAAUCAAAUAAAGCUGUAGCGAUUUGACAGCAAAUAGACUGCAGAAAUCGAGCAGACCUUAUAGCACACAGUUUAGCAGCAGGAUCUGCACAACUUCUGCUGCCAAUCUGCUUGCACACUCUGUCGCCAGAACACGAGUUGAUUUAGAACACAAUAGACCAGAGAUUUGGCAGCUUCGUUUGGUGCACAUGUAAUUGAAGUAUUCGGUUCACGAUACAUACUGGGACUGGAAUCGCACUGGGAUUUCUCGCAGUUUUUCGAAGAACUCGAUCGCAUAAGUGAAAGAAACAACCGCUAUAUUGUCUAUUUUCAUCGGAUCGUGGAUCUUUAUACUCACCUUGCCG